UCCUAAAUAACAAUUGGGAUAUCUUGUUGGCAGAUCCAGAACUGCAAGUACUAGUGGGAGGCUGGGAGCCUAUGCCAGACUUACCGCUAAAAGAGCACCUUCAUUGAAAGAUAAAUUGACACGUAGCCACUUUGUGGGGACAAAACAGACAUGAGCUACAACUUGGCUAGGGAAGAAAGUAAUUGAUUCUUGGAAAUGUGGGAACUGUAAGGCAUGCUGAUUUAUUAAAAUAUGUGAUUCCUUUAAGCAUCCUAGAUUGACAUAUAAGAAUUUUUCUAUCUAUAGUUAUAUCAACUGUAAAACGACUGCUGUUAUCUACAUUAUAGAAUGCACAUGCCCCCUAAUGUAUGUGGGUAAGACGAAACAUGCCCUUGGCAGAAGUCUGUUAGAACACAUAGGGGACAUAAGACGUAAAUCACCUAAAAGCUCUGUGGCCAGACAUUUUAAUGAAAUCCAUGCAGGUGAUACCUAAUGCUUUAAGAUGCAUGGUAUUGAGCACAUUACAAUGGGGAUUCAUGGAGGCGACAUAGAUAAAUUACUUCUUAAGAAAGAGUUAAAAUGGAUAUACACUCUGGAUACAUUAUGGCCAAAAGGCCUUAAUGAAGAAAGGAAAUUCAGGGUUUUGCUAUGAUGCUUUUCAUAUAGAAUAAAUGUUAAAAAAAAAUCCGGGGUGCUUACGGGAUUCUAAGUAAUUCUAUAUAUAAAGAAAAUGUUAGCCAUUGUGAUCUGAGGUAGGGUUAAAUGUUAGUUCAGUUCAUCUUUUCUCAAAACUUAAAAUGUGCUUGUUACACUGCAGUACUUAAUGCUUGUGAUGAAUGCCUCCCAAUGUGCAUUGGGCUGUAACAUGUAUUGUUUAAUCUCUAACUCAUAGGAGUUGGAGGGCUCAUUAGCAUAUUAAAUGGCUGGGGGCUAUAUUAGAUGCCUCCAAUUACUCCAAUUAAUUGAAGAAGCCACCUGCGGCAAAACAUGUCGGCGUGUUGGAGGAGUUAUAGAAAGUGGCCCGGUUGAACUGCUGCAAUUAAUGCUAAUCCCCUCUGUUUGUAAACCAGAUCGGCUAACACAGCACUUCGGACGUUAGAGGGGAAGCCUCUGCUCUAAGGUACAACAGGUGGACUAUAAUCCCGAAGCAUUUAUCUUCUCUGAGUGAAAAUGAGAGGAAAGUGACAGAAUUAACAGAGAUACUUCUGCGUAUUAAACGUGAUGUCCUAGAAAUCAAGAGCAUUGCGGAAAUGUUUAUCCAUUGAUCACUCCUGAAUUGAAACAAGAUCUGAUCCGUAAACUUGAGAAAUCGAGGAAGAAUAAGAGCAACCAAGAUACAGAAGAAAAGACAAUUGUGCAUUUGUAGAGUAGUACCAGCACUACAACCAUUUAUUUGUGCCCACUGUUUGGAGAAACAAAAAAUAUUUUGCAUUAGACAUCAUAAAAAGCAAUUAAAUAUAGUUGACAUAAAGCCAUUCUGAUUCCAAUAUAUCAUUUUGUGACAAAAUACUGUCAGUCAAAUUACUGAACCAAUAAGAAGAAGGUUACUCAUUACCCAAUAGCACGCUGUAUUUAAUUUGAGGCCAUGUACUGGUCUUUCUUCCCACUCUUUUAAUUAAUUCUAUAAAGUUUUGAUUGGAUAUUGGCCCUAUUGUAAUGAUGGGUUUGGUUGGAAGAUAAUAAAAGUAGCCAUAUCACCA